rnacentral:piRNA from 1 species
AUUUAAGGGAAGAGAUUAGCUUCUCACAAUA